rnacentral:rRNA from 1 species
GAUGAACGCUGGCGGCGUGCUUAACACAUGCAAGUCGAACGGAAAGGCCCAAGCUUGCUUGGGUACUCGAGUGGCGAACGGGUGAGUAACACGUGGGUGAUCUGCCCUGCACUUCGGGAUAAGCCUGGGAAACUGGGUCUAAUACUGGAUAGGACCACUUCUUGGAUGUUGUGGUGGACAGUUUUUUCGGUGUGGGAUGAGCUCGCGGCCUAUCAGCUUGUUGGUGGGGUAAUGGCCUACCAAGGCGUCGACGGGUAGCCGGCCUGAGAGGGUGUACGGCCACAUUGGGACUGAGAUAAGGCCCAGACUCCUACGGGAGGCAGCAGUGGGGAAGAUUGCACAAUGGGCGCAAGCCGGAUGCAGCGACGCCGCGUGGGGGAUGACGGCCUUCGGGUUGUAAAAUCCUUUCGCUAGGGACGAAGCGUUUUGUGACGGUACCUGGAGAAGAAGCACCGGCUAACUACGUG